GAGGGGUAGAGUUCUUCGGAACUUGAGACCGGCGCACGGGUGCGUAACGCGUAUGCAAUCUACCUUAUACAGGGGAAUAGCCCAGAGAAAUUUGGAUUAAUGCCCCAUAGUGUUAUCGAAUCGCAUGGUUUGAUAACUAAAGUUCCAACGGUAUAAGAUGAGCAUGCGUCCCAUUAGUUAGUUGGUAAGGUAACGGCUUACCAAGACAAUGAUGGGUAGGGGUCCUGAGAGGGAGAUCCCCCACACUGGUACUGAGACACGGACCAGACUCCUACGGGAGGCAGCAGUGAGGAAUAUUGGUCAAUGGGCGCAAGCCUGAACCAGCCAUGCCGCGUGCAGGAAGACGGUCCUAUGGAUUGUAAACUGCUUUUAUACAGGAAGAAACACCUCCACGUGUGGAGGCUUGACGGUACUGUAGGAAUAAGGAUCGGCUAACUCCGUGCCAGCAGCCGCGGUAAUACGGAGGAUCCAAGCGUUAUCCGGAAUCAUUGGGUUUAAAGGGUCCGUAGGCGGUCUUAUAAGUCAGUGGUGAAAGCCCAUCGCUCAACGAUGGAACUGCCAUUGAUACUGUAAGACUUGAAUACUUGUGAAGUAACUAGAAUAUGUAGUGUAGCGGUGAAAUGCUUAGAUAUUACAUGGAAUACCAAUUGCGAAGGCAGGUUACUAACAAGUUAUUGACGCUGAUGGACGAAAGCGUGGGGAGCGAACAGGAUUAGAUACCCUGGUAGUCCACGCCGUAAACGAUGGAUACUAGCUGUUCGGAGCAAUCUGAGUGGCUAAGCGAAAGUGAUAAGUAUCCCACCUGGGGAGUACGCACGCAAGUGUG
rnacentral:rRNA from 1 species